CUCCAGCAAGGGCUUCUCCAUCGAAAAGGUACUGGCACGCUUGGACUCUCUUUUUUAAUCUUUUUUUCCAAGGGAUUAAUGGCUUCCUGGUAUUUCACGGUCGUGGUAUACAGCUUAAGGACAUUCCCAAUGAGUUUUGAGGCUUUAAAUCAGCGUGCGGUUGCAGUAGUUGUGGAUCCCAUUUAGAGUGUCAAAGGGAAGGUGGUGAUUGAUGCCUUCCGUUUGAUCAACCCACAAACCAUGAUGCUUGGCCAAGAACCCAGGCAGACAACCUCCAACCUUGGACAUCUCAACAAACCGUCCAUCCAAGCAUUGAUCCAUGGGCUGAACAGACACUAUUACUCAAUUGCCAUCAAUUACAGAAAGAAUGAACUGGAGGAAAAAAUGCUACUUAAUCUUCACAAGAAGAAAUGGACAGAUGGCUUGACGCUUCGCCGUUUUGACACACAUUCUCAAACCAAUGAACAGACUGUUCAGGCAAGUCAAGGUCUUAAUCUGUCGCAUCUAGAUUAGAGAAUUGGCUGCACCAGUCACUUAGAGGUGGAUUCUGGACAAUGCAAGACAAGGCCCUCUGCUCAAGCAUAUUUUCAUCUAGUGUCCAUGUUUUCCUAAUUAAUUAAGAUCAAUUAGCUUGCGAUGCAUAUAGACUUUCAUUGAACUGGAUGUUGAGAAGCUGUCGUUUCUUGCAAAACGAAUGAUUGUUUUCAAAUU